AGAGACAUACACAGAGGGACUGGAAGAAAGAAGGAAGUGGGGUGCACACACACACACACGCACACACACACACAGGCAACCAGAAAGUAGGAAGAGAUGGAAAGACACACACACACACACACACACACACACACACACACACACACACUUCAAGAGGGAGCAGCACACAGAAAAAGGCACACAGGCAGGGAAAGGAUGAGAAACAGACACACACAGGCAUACACAUGUACAGAGUGUCCUUUCUCCUCCAGAGACAGGCAGAGCCUGAGCUUGAGAUUGACUGACAGACACAGAGACCCGCAGACUCUCAGAGACGCACAGAGGGAGGGAGAACGAGACAGGCACCCAGGGAGCGAGAGUCCCAGGGAAUGAGACACGCUCUCACGCGCACACACCGUGCGCGCUGGGGCAGACAGAACAGCGCUGCAGCCCACCCGCCAUAGGCGUCAGAAGCAGCAGGACAGGGAGGCAGAGAAGGCUGGAAGCCCAUGGAAGCUAUGCUGGAUUUGAGCCCAGAUCCCCAAUCUCCAGCCUGUUGUCUUCUCACCACCCACAAGUGCAG